CGAUCCCAAAACUAACAGCUGGGCACUCAAGCUAUUUGGUAAGAUAGUGUCGAUGUGAAAGAAAAAAAAAUAAUCCCCUUUUCAGGCAGAAGCCAGCUUCGGUUUCAGAAGAGUACAGGCCAUGGAGCUUGGAUCAGUUCACAGGGGAGAGAAGACAGCGCAGGGAGAGGACAGCCAACUCCAGCAGGAGCUGAGGCCUUUCUGAGCAGAGGCCACAGCCCUCACAGCUCCCCCCCAGCCUCCUCAGCAGCCCACAGCAGUGAUGAACGCUGUCCUCCUUCUCCUCCUCUCCAGAAGAUGCUCCGCGUGCAGCCCCAGAGACCACGCUCCCAGGGCCGUGUUUGCCUCCAGUGAGUACGUGUAUGCGAUUUCUUGUCAAGAGACCGUGCCAUGCGCUAUGCAGAUGACAAGAGACUAGCUAGGAGCACCGAGAGCCCAACCCGUUCCACACACACCUCAUGAAGUUGAGCUGAGGCUUUUCAAUACAGGGAGAAUAACGUAGUCAACCCUGUGUUCCUGCAGUCAGGUGAAGAGGAAGGUUCAUCUGGGAAGAAUAUUUAGUCCAAAACAAAAACCAAACCCUUAAACGGAAGGCAUCUUCCUAUAUGUAUCGCAGUCAGUAUCACGGUUUAGAGGAACUCAAAAUCCUUCCGAGAGCCCUUUGAGUCUCACUUAUGGGGACUUGGGCUCCGUAUGACAUGAAACUGCACUGUCUGCAUCAGGAUAAGAAAUAGUUUAAGUCAUUAAAGCUAUUCAGGAUACACACCAUUCACUUAAUGCCACUGAUACCUGAUUUCAUACCUCACUGCUUGUCGUUUCUGGUCUGUAAAAUCCAGUGCUCUGGUAGAUGGGAAUUCCUAUCCCUAGAAUAGGAAAUACUGUUUUCCA
rnacentral:lncRNA from 1 species